GCCUCCAUAGCUCAGCUGGUUAGAGCGCCGGACUGUUAAUCCGUAGGUCCUAGGUUCAAGUCCUAGUGGGGGCG
rnacentral:tRNA from 1 species